rnacentral:ncRNA from 1 species
UUUGGUAUACCAUAGCCAAAUUUGAGAUGAAAGGGAAAGCCGUGAAAUUCGGCUGCGGUCCCGCCGCUGUAAGUGGGUACGGAAUUUGAUUUAUUGUCACUGCGUAGUGAGUAACUGUGCGGGAAGACUCAAAUUAGUAGGAUGAUCCACAAGCCAGAAGACCUGCCUGUUGCUUUU